UACCAGCACCCCGAGUGGUCGGGACGUUUAUUGGGCCUAAAGCCUCCGUAGCCGGUUUUACAAGUCCCCCGUUAAAUCCAGCUGCUUAACAGAUGGGCUGCGGAGGAUACUAUAAGACUAGGAGGCAGGAGAGGCAAGCGGUACUCAGUGGGUAGGGGUAAAAUCCGUUGAUCCAUUGAAGACCACCAGUGGCGAAGGCGGCUUGCCAGAAUGCGCUCGACGGUGAGGGAUGAAAGCUGGGGGAGCAAACCGG
rnacentral:rRNA from 1 species